UGUCUCUGGACACAGCGUGUCUGCUUUUCCAGCCUCCUCAAGGUGGGCCCUGCCCACUCCCCUGCGAGCAACCUCCAGAGCUCAUGAACCAAAAAUGAAGGAAGAACUCACAGUCCAAGAGCACACUACAGAUGCAGGGCAGGGGGAGGUGUUCCCCAGAAGAAGGUGAAAUUGAUUGGGACCUCUGAACACAGGCACACUCUAAGGUACUGAGGUUUGGUGGAGGGAGGCAAAUCUAAUUCCUCAGCAUCUCUGAAGAGACCCUGGACAGUGGGAAAUACAAGCCUAUGCAAUUCAGCAAAUUCCUUCUGGCAAACCAGGAGCACCUCAGUGUCUGAACUCAGUCAGCACACAGGUCUCCAAACUCCAUGAUACACAGCUCCGCCAGGCCAUGGGCCACACCAGCUAUCAGGUCUCUACUGGAGCAGUCAGCGCUAGAUAAGCCUGGCCAGCUGCACAGUCAGAGGAAGAACCACAGCCCGGACCCUGCACCAGCUCAGAGAGCUGAGCACUGCCUCCCUUGCUGAUGAACAGCAGCCCUUGAAGGAGAAGGAAGAGUAAGCUAGAGGGUUGAUGAUUUCUGAGAGCAUGCUCAUUUCAGGCAUCGGCCAAGUCUACAGUUGCUGGCUUUAUGAGAUCUGUGGAGAUCACAUCUCAAGAGGGCUACACAAUGCUCCCUCCAGUCCCAUAUGUCUCCAGAUCAACUGGUUUACUUUAAUGCUCUGCAGCAAGAUGAAGUCAAAUCUCAACUGACAGAGUGACAGUGAGUUGUAAUUCUAUUCAGCAGUGUUUCCUUGGCUAGAAGAAUG